rnacentral:rRNA from 1 species
UACGGGGGGUCCUAGCGUUGUUCGGAAUCACUGGGCGUAAAGCGUUUGUAGGUGGCUUUGUAAGUUAAAUGUGAAAGCCUAGGGCCUAACCCUAGAAGUGCAUUUAAUACUGCAAAGCUUGAGUAUGAGAGAGGAAGGUGGAAUACCUGGUGUAGUGGUGAAAUACGUAGAUAUCAGGUGGAACAUCGGCGGCGAAAGCGGCCUUCUGGCUUAAUACUGACACUGAAAAACGAAAGCGUGGGGAUCAAACAGG